UCUAUUGUGGAUGUGCCCAAGAAUUAGAAUGUUUUGGGACUUGGUAUUUGAAGAAAUUAGUAAAAUCAUUAAUCAGGAAAUUAAAACAGAUCCUUAGCUAGCAAUGUUGGAAAUAUUUACUGAAGAUAAUAAAGGUGAAUGGUACAAUAAGCUUUGGUUUAUAGCUAUGGCAGAGAAAUUAACCCAUUUGUUGCAUCUUCGAACAGGACAAUCAAAACCAUAUUCUUUCUUUGUGAUCUGGCAAGAUUUAUUUAUUUUUAUUAAUCAAAUGAAUUAUGGUAAUGUAUUGUCUGCUUGGUAUAUUCAGAUACAGAAAGAUGUGUCUUAUUUAUAAAAUGCUCAGAUUUGUUUGGGUUAACAUUUUAGAUUAGUAACAUCUAUAAUAAUAACUAAGACCUGAUCUUUAGGAAACUAAAGUAUAGGAGUUAUGCAUUCUGUGAUCUGCGAUAUUAUAUUAUGUAAUGUUCUGCCUUUGAUAUUAAAAAAAGAAAAGAAAAUCCAUACUAAAUGUCAAUAUACCUUGUUUAUGCAGAACUUUGAACCUGGAAUGAGAAGUAGAGUCAAAUGCCUUAAAUCAUUCCCAUUAUGAAGUGUGGCUGCUGUUUGUUUGGAUUUGCAAAUUGCUUGUCUGUCCAACAUUAAGAUAGUUUCAAAACAUUAACUUUUCUGAUUCUGUUGACUUCCAGAGCAACAAAAUUCUAGGUUUGAAAAUUGCACGAAGUGGAGUUGUGUGUCCUAUCUAAAUUCUAUAUCCCUCCACCCUGCAGACGGUAUGCUGUUUUGAAGUGGCAGGAGCCACCAGCUCUGGUUUUGUUGGAGAUGAAAAUUGAGCAUUGCAGCUGUAAGGUAGCAGCAGCAGCAGUAGAUGGUGUGAAAUGGGUUUCACACACUGCUCCAUUACCAGUGGGGUGGCCAUGUAUGAUUCAGCCUGUGUUAAGUCAAGAAAGGCAAAAGCCAUGCCAGCCAUCACCUCUUACAAACCCUAAAGUACCCCUUUUGACUGCCACUGCUUUGCUGAAAAUAACACAUUUAGUCAUUUGUCAUAAUUAUAAGAAGCCCAAUGACAUGGAAUGCAGGCCCGCCUUUUAAUGCUGCCAAGACUGUUAUAAUACAGCCAGCAGGAGAUUGCUGCUGUGAGCAAAUCACAACUGUGGUGCCAGUUAAAUUCCAGCCGAAAGGUCAUACGUGACCUUGGUGAGCAGUUCAUCGCAAAUGAUUGAUCUGCCAGCAACAAAACUAAUAAUUACACAGCUCUUCAUUUCCAUUCAUCUUGGUAACAUGAAAUUUAUCCCAGUGUGAAGGAUCCAGGCCAUGUAGGAGUAAAUUGGUGAACCAUAAACCCACUAAAACCCCACAGGUGCAGCUCCAAUCUUGUUUUCUCCCCAUGUUUAUUUUACUCUCUGUGGGUAUUUCCUCCAAAUCUACCAAGAUGCUGAAUUCAUUUUACAUGUUUUGUCUUAAGCUUUCUACCACCUUCAGGAAAUGCAUCUCUUAAUCCGGUACACUCUUCUUGGCCUGUGUUGUCGAUCCCUUAUGAUUGGGUUUGUUGAUAUUUGCAUCACGUCAAUGUAUGCACAAAAUGGCUUUUACAUUACAAGGAAGACUAUGGCCUAUGUUACAGGAUAACAGAAUUCACAAAUCAAUCAAGCUGUCUUUUAAUUCAGGAAAAAGAGCUGGUGUUCUUAAGUUACUGCUUAGCUGUGGAGGAACCCAACCCAUGGCAGAUGUUGCUUCCCUUAAGCACUAUCCAUAAGUUACUGACUGGUUUGUCAAUAAUCUCCCACCACCUCCAACAACUGCCCUGAAGGAGAGAAAAAUUGUGUGUGCAGUUGGAGAUCAGCAGCCAGAAAGCUGAACUGAGUCUAGUCCAAGUGGAGAAGGUGAGGGCAGUCCAAGCUGGAGAAUUGCUAGCCCAGGCUGAGAGAAUCCGUGUUAUGGCUGUAGCUGAAACCACAGAAGGCUGUAGCUGAAACCACAGAAGGGGAUUUCCACUAUGAUGUUUCACAGCAAUUAAUGAGAGUUUCUGAGAAACAGGGAAGAACUAUUGCCUCCUGAUUUGGGAUAUAGCCAAGAAUUAUGAACUGGACACAUUUGUAUUCUGAACCAUCAUCAGUGCAAAGCAGUGCAAUCAAGAAUCUGAAUCAUAGAACAACAACAGCAAAGAUGUAGCAAGCUGCUAUGGCCUCUGGGCUUUGUUGCUCCCACAGUACGUGAGUGCAUAUGUAUCAAUUAAUGUUCAACAAGCAAUUCCAAGUGGAGGAGGGCGGGGUUCCUUGUUUUCCUCCCAAGUCUUG